AAACAAGGCAGAAGGGCUUUGAAUGUGGCAGAUCCAUCAGAUACACCCCUGAAGCCUGCAGACAGGAUGGUCUCUGGGAGGAUGUGCUCGAAGAAAAUGACUGGCUCUGAAAUGGACUCUUUAGUAUGGUUAUUUGGAUGAUGGUUUUGAUUCGGAGAGUCAAAAGCCAUGGUAUGUGAGGGGAGUGCAUUCUUCAUGAAGAGAGGCCAUCUUCUGCAUUCUCCUUCCUGUGGCUGAAGAGUGGGGCACUCAACUUGUUGCUUUCUGUCAAGGCUACAAGCCAGGAUACUACACUUAAUUGACAUAUCUUCUUAAACGCCUCUGAUUUGUGACGGUUUCUCAGUCUUUCCUGCUUUUCAUGACCUUGAUGCCUUUGAAGAGAAGUG
rnacentral:lncRNA from 1 species